UAUGUGAUCGUCUCUCGCAUAUCAAUAAGCGGAGGAAAAGAAACUAACAAGGAUUCCCUUAGUAACGGCGAGUGAAGCGGGAAGAGCUCAAAUUUGAAAUCUUCAAGGUUUUACCUUGACGAAUUGUAGUUUAAAGAAGUGUUUUCUGUUGAAGUUUUGGUAAAAGUUCUUUGGAAUAGGACAUCAUAGAGGGUGAGAAUCCCGUAUUUGACCAUUAUUUUCAGCUGUGUGAUACACUUUCAAAGAGUCGGAUUGUUUGGGAAUGCAGUCCAAAAUGGGUGGUAAAUUUCAUCUAAAGCUAAAUAUUGGCGAGAGACCGAUAGCGAACAAGUACCGUGAGGGAAAGAUGAAAAGAACUUUGAAAAGAGAGUUAAACAGUACGUGAAAUUGUCAAAAGGGAAGCGUUUGACACCAGUGUUGUUUUCUCGAAAAUCAAUUAAAAAGAGUUAGAUUUUGUUGUGUAUUGACCUUAACAGCUUGCAUUUCAAUUUUCUUGCUUUUUUUAAUGCACUUUUCGUUUAACAAGUCAACAUCAGUUUCUUUUGUUGUAAAAAGGUCAUUGGAAGGUGGCUUUCUUUUCGGAGAAAGUGUUUAUAGCCUUUGACUCCUGCAAUCGGAGAGACUGAGGUCUGCAGCGUAGAUCCUUCGGGGUUAGAUACAUUUGUGCUAAGUUAUAGCUUUUUAUAGACAACUUGUUGACUAUGAUUAGUCUUGUAGCUUACUCGCUUAUGCUAUUUUACCUACGCUUAGGAUGUUGAAGAUGUAGCACAUCAUACACGCAUGACACACUGCAUAUCAAUAAGCGGAGGAAAAGUAAAUGCUGUAUACCUACGCUUAGGAUGUUGAAGAUGUAGCACAUCAU
rnacentral:rRNA from 1 species